CCUACGGGUGGCAGCAGUGAGGAAUAUUGGUCAAUGGACGCAAGUCUGAACCAGCCAAGUAGCGUGAAGGAUGACUGCCCUCUGGGUUGUAAACUUCUUUUAUCUGGGAAUAAAACAGGGUUUGCAUACCCUCUUGUAUGUACCAUAUGAAUAAAAAUAGGCUAACUCAGCGCCAGCCGACGCGGUAAUACGGUGGAUACGAGCGUUAUCCGGAUUUAUUGGGUUUAAAGGGAGCGUAGGGGGUUUGUUAAGUCAGUUGUGAAAGUUUGCGGCUCAACCGUAGAAUUGCAGUUGAAACUGGCAGGCUUGAGUACAGGAGAGGGGGGCGGAAUUCGUGGUGUAGCGGUGAAAUGCGUAGAUA
rnacentral:rRNA from 1 species